rnacentral:lncRNA from 1 species
CAGGCUUUAUAGACCUGGAUCUUGCUGUAUGCCGUCAGCUUCUUAUUAAGCCAUACUCUCUUACCCCUGUUAAAUUUCAUGCUGUUGCUUUCGGCCCAGGGCUCCAUCCGUUUAAAGGCAGGCCCUUAUAAGGCACAGGAGCAGGGCAGAGAGGGGAAGUUGGCAACACCGGGAGCUUAGCUUUUACGUGGUGGACCUUUUCCCCCCUUUGACUAGGUGGCGAACGGGAGAGGGGACGAGGUUGCCGCUUCCUCGCCGCAGAUCCAGCUUGCUUGCUCGUUCGCUUGCUUGCUCGCCUCCCAAGUCGGCGGCUCCUCUUCUUGCUGCCGCCGCCAACGGGGCAGGAUCGGCUACGCGCGCGCGGGGAGCGGGGAGGGGGGGGAGGUUUGUGCAGUGACGUCACGGAGCCUCCGGCCAGCACAACGUUUUCCAUUGAGGGGAGCGCGGAGCGCGUGCUCUGGCGAGCACAUGGGCCGCAAGCAAGCAAGCAACACCGCCGGGGCUGGAGUCCUUCGCGCUGCAGAGAGCGCGGCCUGCUCCGGAUUGAUCCCCUUUGCCGUGCAUUUCUUUUGCAGCGGAUUUAUCGCUCGCUCCAAAAACAAUGAAGAAGCAAAGCAAAAAAAAAAGGGGGGGCGAAGAAGAGAGCUAGGAGCAACUUUGCAAACGCUUCGGCAUGAUUGGGGAGAACUCGGCGUGGCCCGCGGAGGGGUCUCCCUCCUGAUUCCCUGA